AUUUCUUAUGGGGGAUUCCUGUCUGUCUGAGGCCUUUCAAAGGAUGAGCAGCUCAGUGAGAAACACUGUGCUGUCUAACACUCCAGGGAGCUGAGAAGAGAGGAAAGUCACAGAACUACCAAAUUCUGCUUGUGCACAAAAGUGGAGAGAAAUCUCAUUUAGAGCAUGAGAGGCACAGAGGGUGAACUGAGCAGGCAUGAGAGGAACAGAGAAAGCAGCAGACUGAAGAUACAGUCCAAGUCCACGUAUAAUGAAUAAUGUAUAAACUCAAUUUGGAAGCAGGAACAUUCAGAACAGAAGGUUUUAGCUGCAUCUUGGAGCGUGCGUGACCACUGAUAACCUGCUAUCCUCCUGUGUGUCACCUCAGCUCCAGUGCCGAGUCCCACAUCUCGCCUUCUACUUGCACUUACCCCGUACCUUCUGCCAUUCCUGACCACUCAUACGGAAUACUUUAUAAGCUGAAUAUGACCUGUCACUUCAGCAGACGUGUACUUAUUUUUUCUGGGAUCUCUUUUUGGCUAGUUCCAAUGGCAAGCUGAUGCUGUAUCUGGUAAAGAAAUCCACUUAUGGAUUGUGGAUUGGUCAGCCAGAAUGCGCCCUGUUGUAGACAUAAAAAUAUGGAAAGAACUCCAGACACUAGCCUGUCUGGUGGAAAAUCGUUAUCUGCAAACACCAUCCACAUCAUCAAACACAGACCCAUGCAAUGCAAACAGUUGCAGUUUGUGUCGGUGCCUCUGCCCUGGCCAUGCGUGGAUCUGCUGGGACGCAGCAUUAGCAGAUUGGGAUCUUCAAAGCAAGAGCCCUCCCCUCCCGGUGGGAAGCACAGCCGUCUCAGCUCUGCACCUCGCAGGCCCUGCUUAAAACCCUCUCCCUUUUUUUGCUACUGUUUGAGUUGGGCUGCUGUGGAGCUGCAAUUUCUGACUCUCCACCUGCUCUGUUAAUGGCCAGCUCUAUGCAUCUGGGGCACCACUCUGAUUUCAAGCUGCUUUACUCCAGCUACCAGAUGCAAACCAGGCAUUUUAGGCAUUUUAAGUGUUUUGUAACCUGGACUUAUGUGGUUUAUCACCUUAACUGUGAUCAGCAAAGUCUGAGACGCACAACAGUUGCCCACAAGCAGUUAAAUUGAACAGCCAAACUCCUGGAGUAGGAGUUUGACUCCCUAAGACCCAGUUAUUAACUGUGAUUCAAAAACAAUAAAUCUUCACAGAUAGAAG
ensembl:lncRNA